rnacentral:rRNA from 1 species
GAUGAACGCUGGCGGCGUGCCUAAUACAUGCAAGUCGAGCGAACGGACGAGAAGCUUGCUUCUCUGAUGUUAGCGGCGGACGGGUGAGUAACACGUGGAUAACCUACCUAUAAGACUGGGAUAACUUCUGGAAACCGGAGCUAAUACCGGAUAAUAUUUUGAACCGCAUGGUUCAAAAGUGAAAGACGGUCUUGCUGUCACUUAUAGAUGGAUCCGCGCUGCAUUAGCUAGUUGGUAAGGUAACGGCUUACCAAGGCAACGAUGCAUAGCCGACCUGAGAGGGUGAUCGGCCACACUGGAACUGAGACACGGUCCUGACUCCUACGGGAGGCAGCAGUAGGGAAUCUUCCGCAAUGGGCGAAAGCCUGACGGAGCAACGCCGCGUGAGUGAUGAAGGUCUUCGGAGCGUAAAACUCUGUUAUUAGGGAAGAACAUAUGUGUAAGUAACUGUGCACAUCUUGACGGUACCUAGUCAGAAAGCCACGGCUAACUACGUG